GACGAACGCUGGCGGCGUGCUUAACACAUGCAAGUCGAACGAUGAAGCCGGAGCUUGCUCUGGUGAAUUAGUGGCGAACGGGUGAGUAACACGUGAGUAACCUGCCCUUGACUCUGGGAUAACUGCGGGAAACUGUAGCUAAUACCGGAUACGACCCUCGGAGGCAUCUCCUGGGGGUGGAAAGAAUUUCGGUCAGGGAUGGACUCGCGGCCUAUCAGCUAGUUGGUGAGGUAAAGGCUCACCAAGGCGACGACGGGUAGCCGGCCUGAGAGGGGGACCGGCCACACUGGGACUGAGACACGGCCCAGACUCCUACGGGAGGCAGCAGUGGGGAAUAUUGCACAAUGGGCGCAGGCCUGAUGCAGCAACGCCGCGUGAGGGAUGACGGCCUUCGGGUUGUAAACCUCUUUUAGCAGGGAAGAAGCGAAAGUGACGGUACCUGCAGAAAAAGCACCGGCUAACUACGUGCCAGCCGCCGCAGUAA
rnacentral:rRNA from 1 species